AAUCUUUAGUGUUGUGAGCCCUUAAAAGGGACAGAAAUUUUGCACUCGGGGAGCUCAGAUUUUAAGACAGUAGCUUGCUGAUGCUCCCAGCUGAAUAAAGCCCUUCCUUCUACAACUCGGUGUCUGAGGGGUUUUGUCUGCAGCUCGUCCUGCUACAAUGGUGGUUCCUUUAUAGGAUAUUCAUGAUUCCCUACCUUGAAUCAAUGCCGCCAUCUUCCUUUUAACUCAGGGACUAUGAGAUACACAGGUCUUCAAUGCCAGUCACCUCAUGGACUCACCACCUAGUUUAUCAAGGAGAAGUUGAUGCUGGGAGCAACUACAAAAAUGAAGCUACUCUGAUUUAGGUGGCACAGAAAAGCAGGCGAGGGUUUCUCCCUCCUGUCUCAUUUGAUCAUUUUUCAUGCUUUACCUGUGCUUCUAGGGGCCAAUCUAUCUUUUUUUUUUUUUUUCUGCCUUCUCUGCUUUAAAUGUUCCCAGUUCUGUCUGGAACUUGUCUUUGAACAAAGAAAGAUUUACUUCUUUCUUGAUUCUUUUAUUCCCCUCAUUUUUGUUUAUUCUCUUCCUGGCUCUUAGAGCUUUUCUCUUAACAUUGUGACUGGUGUAUCUAUUUUCUUCAUCUCUCACCUCCUGCCCAUGAACUUAUUUAUGAGGAAAUGUGUAGGAUAAUAGAGCAACAAUUUGGCUUAAAGGGCUCUAGCUGUGUGACCCUAGGCACAUCAGUCAACUCCUUAUAAACAACAGGUUUCUUUUCUCUAAAAUGAGGAUGUUAGAUUCUAUUAUCUCAGUAGUUCAUCUCAGCACUAAUUUUCUAUGAUUCCUUUUCUCACAGUGCUGUCUACCUUGCAAGCCCAGUACAUGUAUAUUAGUUCCCUAUUGCUGCUGUAACAAAUUGCCACCAGCUUAAUGGUUUAAAGCAAGGCAAAUUUGUUAUUUUAUAUUUCUGUAGAUCAGACAUCUGGCACGGUGCCCUUGUGCUAAAAUUAGAGUGCUGACAAGCCUAUGGUUCUUUCUGGAGCCUUCAGGGAAGAAUUGGUUACCUUGCGUUUUCCAGCUUUUGAGAGCACCUGCAUCCCUUGGGUCAUGCCCUUUUCCUCCAUUUUCAAAGUCCAAAACAGGAUGUCAAGUCCUUCUUUCUUUGCAUCUCUUUGAACAACUGUAGCCAAAAAGAUUCUCCAUUCUAAGGACUCCUGUGAUUUGAUUGGGAGCCUCUACAUCAUUCAGGAGAAUCCUCUGACCUCAAGUUCUGUAACCUGAAUCACAUCAUAAGACUUCAGCUGGCAGAGCAACACAAGCAGCUGAAUAUCAAGAGGUGAAGAAGCAACUGGGCAUCUGAGACUAUGGAUAGAUGCGACUUAACUUCAGACGGCACAACUUUGGAGAGGAGCCCAGAUGGAGACGACCAGGCUUCAAGGAAAGAUCACCUUCUUCUUGCACCCCCCUUUCAGCUCCCCUUCUGCUGAGAGCUACUUCCACUGCCUAAUAAAAUCCUCUGCAUCAUCACCUUUCAAACCAUUCGUGCGACCUGAUUCUUCCUGGAUGCCGAACAAGAACCUGGGAACCAAGAGGGCAGAGUAUUAGGCUGUCACCCUGACUCUCCACUAAGCUGGUUAACACUUAGCUGCCAUGGACAGCAACUCCUAAAAGAGCAUUAAUUUUAUCACACCCCUAGACGCUGCCAGGGGGCUGGAGCCCAAAAGCAUUUGCCCCAGCUCCAACACCCACUUGCCUGUGUGCUCCCUCCCGUGAGGGGUUGAGCCCAGUGGGUUUGAGUGAGUGAAGUUCAUCCCUGUUGGCAGCAAAGUGGCAGGCUGAACCCAGAGCCAGUGCACUCUAGUUCCCAUCUGCAAAAGGGUCAAAGGAACUCUCCUGUCUCAACAACAUAUUACUGACUAACACAAGCAUCUUAUGCCUGGUAGCAUCAAAUUAAGCAAAGGGUAGCCCGAAUGCCAUGUCUUCACAUUUUAUUCCACUUGGAUCUCCUGUAGAAUGGCUGUUUACCAUGGAAGGGCUGAUUCCAAUUCUCACGUUAAUCACUUACAAGGCAGAAACCAGCUAGUCUAGACUGGUAAAGGGCUUUCCAGUUCAUUCAUCAGCCUCCUCUGAUUCUCUCAGGGCUCAUUCAGAUGUUCCCAAUCCUUUCACAAGAUUACAAUUCAACACAUAUGGAAGCACAAAAAAAAAUGCUGAUUUCCCCACAUAAAUAAUAAUUAAUUACUAAUGAAGAUAAUGGUGACAGACUAUGGGACUUAAGAAAAAACCUACGAGGAUGUAUCACAAGACAAAUCCUUCUAAAAAUUAAACUAUUUGCAGACAAUCAGAAAGUCAAAACUAACAAUCUCUUAAACAUUUCUCAGAUAUGGCUGUAAUAACAUAGCAUUCCUAUAAAAAUGAACUUUUAGGUUAAAUAUAUCUUUACACAUACAUGCACUUGCACCCACAUGUACACACAAUCUAUUUUUGGAUCUACUGAAUAAAGCAUCAUUAUUUAAAGUGAAGCAAUAAAAGUUUCAACGUCUUUUUUUCUAAGUAUUAGCCUUGAAGUUAUUCACCCUAACCAAA
rnacentral:lncRNA from 1 species